UCGUAGUCGAAAUUGUGUCCUCGGCCGCCGGUUCGUCGCUCGCGACGCCAACUGGCGCGCACCGCUGGACGUCCAGCCGGUACAACGAACUCGCCUACGGGGUGCUCUUAACCGAGUGUCCAGGCGGGGGCCGGCAACGUUACUUUGAACAAAUUAAAGUGCUUAAAGCAGGCUAAAUUGCGCUCGCAUACACGCGCAUGGAAUAAUCGAAUAGGACCUCCGUUCUAUUUUGUUGGGUUUUUGUGGAACGACAGACGGAGGUAAUGAUCAAUGGGUGCGGAUGGGGGCAUUCGUAUUGCGACGUUAGAGGUGAAAUUCUUGGAUCGUCGCAAGACGGACUUAAGCGAAAGCAUUUGCCAAAAACGCUUUCAUCGAUCAAGAACGAAAGUUAGAGGUUCGAAGGCGAUCAGAUACCGCCCUAGUUCUAACCAUAAACUAUGCCAGCUAGCGAUCCGCCGAAGUUACUUCUAUGACUCGGCGGGCAGCUUCCGGGAAACCAAAGCUUUCGGGUUCCGGGGGAAGUAUGGUUGCAAAGCUGAAACUUAAAGGAAUUGACGGAAGGGCACCACCAGGAGUGGAGCCUGCGGCUUAAUUUGACUCAACACGGGAAACCUCACCAGGCCCGGACACCGGAAGGAUUGACAGAUUGAGAGCUCUUUCUUGAUUCGGUGGGUGGUGGUGCAUGGCCGUUCUUAGUUGGUGGAGCGAUUUGUCUGGUUAAU
rnacentral:rRNA from 1 species